GCGCAAUCAUAUAUUAUCUUCUAGGUAAAAAACAAUAUAAUGAGUUCUUCUCAUUUAAACCAGAUGGUGAUAAUGUUUCCAACGUGCUGGACCACACAUGUUGUGUAGAGAAUUAUAUGCCCCUGUGGUCUCCCUUACGUGAGACAUCUAAUGACGUAAGGGAAUGCAUGCGGGGUCACAGGUCUACUAUACGUUCAGCACUACUGAGCGGCAGUGCGAGCACAUUAUCACCAUCUGGUUUAAAUGAGAAGAACUCAUUAUAUUGUUUUUUACCUAGAAGAUAAUAUAUGAUUGAGC